GAUGAACGCUGGCGGCGUGCCUAAUACAUGCAAGUCGAGCGAACAGAUGAGGAGCUUGCUCCUCUGACGUUAGCGGCGGACGGGUGAGUAACACGUGGAUAACCUACCUAUAAGACUGGGAUAACUUCGGGAAACCGGAGCUAAUACCGGAUAAUAUAUUGAACCGCAUGGUUCAAUAGUGAAAGACGGUUUUGCUGUCACUUAUAGAUGGAUCCGCGCCGCAUUAGCUAGUUGGUAAGGUAACGGCUUACCAAGGCAACGAUGCGUAGCCGACCUGGAAGGGUGAUCGGCCACACUGGAACUGAGACACGGUCCAGACUCCUACGGGAGGGAGCAGUAGGGAAUCUUCCGCAAUGGGCGAAAGCCUGACGGAGCAACGCCGCGUGAGUGAUGAAGGUCUUCGGAUCGUAAAACUCUGUUAUUAGGGAAGAACAAAUGUGUAAGUAACUAUGCACGUCUUGACGGUACCUAAUCAGAAAGCCACGGCUAACUACGUG
rnacentral:rRNA from 1 species